rnacentral:lncRNA from 1 species
GAACUUUUUGUAGUAACGUCAGCAGCGCAGCCAUAAUAGUACAGACGCCAGGAAGUCAGAGUCAUUGGACCACUGUGCAAGGAACGGCGCGAGUAUUUGGAACGAUGAACUUCGUAAAGUUUACGGAGGAAGACAUUCGGAAACUGAACACCACUCUGUCACGAUGCCAUGCGAACACUGCCAUAAGCAAGGAAUCAGAAGAAGAAGAACAUCUCAAAUAACCAGUAUCAUCGCUGCCCAAUAUAGCAAGAAAGA